rnacentral:tRNA from 1 species
AAAUUUAGGAUACAUUUUAAAUCCAGGAGCCUUCAAAGCCCCAAAAAAGAGUCAUCACCCUCUUAAUUUCU